AAUGUAACUUUUUGGAGUAGUGGCAGACCAUUUUGUUCCAACAAGACUAGCCUUCAGCAGAUCAACUUCCUUCUCAACCUUAGGAUUUUUCACAAAUCCACCAAAUUGUCUCACUGCUACAGACGAAGCAUUCCAUCUCUGAACAGUGAGACCAUUUGCUCCAGCUGGGUCAUUUUGGUUCUCUUUUGGCACAAAGAAGCUCACAACA
rnacentral:lncRNA from 1 species